rnacentral:rRNA from 1 species
GUUGGGAGCUCUCCCAUAUGGUCGACCUGCAGGCGGCCGCGAAUUCACUAGUGAUUAGAGUUUGAUCAUGGCUCAGAUUGAACGCUGGCGGCAGGCCUAACACAUGCAAGUCGAGCGGUAGAGAGGUGCUUGCACCUCUUGAGAGCGGCGGACGGGUGAGUAAUGCCUAGGAAUCUGCCUGGUAGUGGGGGAUAACGCUCGGAAACGGACGCUAAUACCGCAUACGUCCUACGGGAGAAAGCAGGGGACCUUCGGGCCUUGCGCUAUCAGAUGAGCCUAGGUCGGAUUAGCUAGUUGGUGGGGUAAUGGCUCACCAAGGCGACGAUCCGUAACUGGUCUGAGAGGAUGAUCAGUCACACUGGAACUGAGACACGGUCCAGACUCCUACGGGAGGCAGCAGUGGGGAAUAUUGGACAAUGGGCGAAAGCCUGAUCCAGCCAUGCCGCGUGUGUGAAGAAGGUCUUCGGAUUGUAAAGCACUUUAAGUUGGGAGGAAGGGCAUUAACCUAAUACGUUAGUGUUUUGACGUUACCGACAGAAUAAGCACCGGCUAACUCUGUGCCAGCAGCCGCGGUAAAAUCGAAUUCCCGCGGCCGCCAUGGCGCCGGGAGCAUGCGAC